AAGUCGUAACAAGGUCUCCGUAGGUGAACCUGCGGAGGGAUCAUUACUGAGUGAGGGUUUCGGCCCGACCUCCAACCCCAUGUAUUCCGACUCUGUUGCCUCGGGGGCGACCCUGCCUUCGGGCGUUGGGGCCCCCGGCGGACACCACAACUCUGCAUCUUUGCGUCUGAGUAACACUUUGAAUUAAAUCAAAA
rnacentral:misc_RNA from 1 species